rnacentral:snoRNA from 1 species
AGGCCAUGGUGUGGGCAAACUCGUUGAGGUUCUUUAUAGCGAUCCCAUGCCUCAUAUAGGGAUUUAUUUUCAUGUUGGGUGAAUGAGGUUAUUUCUUUAAUAAGCCU